UCCUUUAAUCCCAUUUCUUGAAUCUUAUGCCAAUUUGGGGGUUUGCUUUUGUUGUUUCUUUCUUUCACGUGCUCGGGUUUUUCUUCGAAUUUUAAAUCUCCUCCCCUCUUCGAUUUGAUCCUCUGCUGCUUGCCUUCUGUUGAUCUUUCGCUGUUUGAUUUUGUUCUUUCUCAAGCUUUGUUCAGGGUUUUCAGAUUCUUGACCUUCGUGUUUUUCCUUGCUUAAUGUAACAUAAUGUGAAUUCAUAUUGGCAGAACUUGAGCUAUUGCAGCUGAAAUGUAAUUCUUAGUCAUGGAUAUUUGUGAUUUUAAGGCUGUUUAUAACAAGCAUCGUUUAUUCACCAAUCACCAAUCGUAGCAUAGCUCAACUAGUUAAGACGUAUUUGAAUUCUCUCUUGUUAAACUCAAAAGGAUGAACAUUUAAAAUUUGAUGGAUUAUGAAAUUGUUCCGUUUAAAGAGAUUGUUGCAUUGUAUAUUAGUUUGUUAUUAUAGCUAAGUCCUUUACCGGCUGAGACUUAUGAGGAAAUGUAAUAGUCCAAACUUACCAUUAGUAGAUAUUGUCUUCUUUGGGCUUUCAUUUUUAGGUU